rnacentral:misc_RNA from 1 species
GAAAUGCGAUAAGUAAUGUGAAUUGCAGAAUUCAGUGAAUCAUCGAAUCUUUGAACGCACCUUGCGCUCCUUGGUAUUCCUUGGAGCAUGCCUGUUUGAGUAUCAUGAAAUCUUCAAAGUAAAUCUUUUGUUAACUCAAUUGGUUUCUACUUUGGUAUUGGAGGUCUUUGCAGCUUCACACCUGCUCCUCUUUGUUCAUUAGCUGGAUCUCAGUGUUAUGCGUGGUUCCACUCGGCGUGAUAAGUUAUCUAUCGCUGAGGACACUGUAAAAGGUGGCCAAGGUAAAUGCAGAUGAACCGCUUCUAAUAGUCCAUUGACUUGGACAAUACUUUUAUGAUCUGAUCUCAAAUCAGGUAGGACUACCCGCUGAACUUAAGC